ACCAAACCAACCAAACAGCAAACGGUAUACACAACACUCUCGCUCUUCCCAACUCGCACAACAGUUUCUCUCUCUCUCUCUCUCUCCGGAGUCCUAUUUUCGCAUCUCUUUCUAUUUUUCUUUCCUUUUGCUCGUGCCGCCACUGUUCUAUGCGCCUCCAUCCGCCUCCACCUCAUCCUCGGCCUCGCCUAGGGUUUCAAGAGUUUUUACUUUCAUUUCCUUGCCUUUCUAGGGUUUUUCGAGCUGGAUUCUCUCUCCUUCCUCCGUCGAAUCUCUAUGCGCCGCUGGUUCAGCGGCUUCGUUGAUUGACUCACCCUCUGUCUCUUCGUUUCUCUCUGUAUUUAUCUUUUCUCUUCAUCGAUCCCCUGCGGAACCUAGAUUUAUCUCUUUAUUUAGUUGGCUAUGAUAUCUCGAUUAGGCCGGGGGCGAGGUUGAUUGAUAGAUAGCUUGAAUUUGGGUGUGAUCAGGGGUGUUAAUCUAUUUUGGGNN
rnacentral:lncRNA from 1 species